rnacentral:rRNA from 1 species
UACGUAGGGGGCAAGCGUUGUCCGGAGUCAUUGGGCGUAAAGAGCGUGUAGGCGGCUUGGUAAGUCCGCUGUGAAAGUCCAGGGCUCAACCCUGGAAAGCCGGUGGAAACUGUCAAGCUUGAGUCCGGAAGAGGCGAGUGGAAUUCCUGGUGUAGCGGUGAAAUGCGCAGAUACCAGGAGGAACACCAAUGGCGAAGGCAGCUCGCUGGGACGGUACUGACGCUGAGACGCGAAAGCGUGGGGAGCAAACAGG